UACAGAGGGGGCGAGCGUUGUUCGGAAUUACUGGGCGUAAAGGGCGCGUAGGCGGCCAACUAAGUCGGACGUGAAAUCCCCAGGCUCAACUUGGGAACUGCGUCCGAUACUGGAUGGCUUGAAUCCGGGAGAGGGAUGCGGAAUUCCAGGUGUAGCGGUGAAAUGCGUAGAUAUCUGGAGGAACACCGGUGGCGAAGGCGGCGAUCCUGGACCGGU
rnacentral:rRNA from 1 species